UACGUAGGGUGCGAGCGUUGUCCGGAAUUAUUGGGCGUAAAGGGCUCGUAGGCGGUUUGUCGCGUCGGGAGUGAAAUCCACUGGCUUAACUGGUGGCUUGCUUUCGAUACGGGCAGACUGGAGGUAUGCAGGGGAGAACGGAAUUCCUGGUGUAGCGGUGAAAUGCGCAGAUAUCAGGAGGAACACCGAUUGCGAAGGCAGCUCGCUGGAACGUUACUGACGCUGAGACGCGAAAGCGUGGGGAGCAAACAGG
rnacentral:rRNA from 1 species